GAGCUAAUCUCGAGGAGCUAGAUCCUUAAGAUUAGCGGCGGACGGGUGAGUAACACGUUGGGUAACCCUGCCUGGUAAGACUGGGUAUAACACCGGGAAACCGGUGCUAAUACCGGAUAACUCUUCACCUCUCAUGAGGUGAGGUUGAAAGUCGGUUUUGGCUGACACUUACAGAUGGGCCCGCGGCGCAUUAGCUAGUUGGUGAGGUAACGGCUCACCAAGGCGACGAUGCGUAGCCGACCUGAGAGGGUGAUCGGCCACACUGGGACUGAGACACGGCCCAGACUCCUACGGGAGGCAGCAGUAGGGAAUCUUCCGCAAUGGACGAAAGUCUGACGGAGCAACGCCGCGUGAGUGAUGAAGGCCUUCGGGUCGUACAACUCUGUUGUUAGGGAAGAACAAGUACCGCAGUAACUGCCGGUACCUUGACGGUACCUACCCAGACAGGCACGGCUAACUACGUGCCAGCAGCCGCGGUAAU
rnacentral:rRNA from 1 species